rnacentral:rRNA from 1 species
GACGUAGGGCGCGAGCGUUGUCCGGAUUCAUUGGGCGUAAAGCGCGCGUAGGCGGCUCGGAAAGUCGGUCGUGAAAUGCCGGGGCUCAACCCCGGGACUGCGUCCGAUACGGGCAGACUAGAGUUCGGCAGGGGAGACUGGAAUUCCUGGUGUAGCGGUGAAAUGCGCAGAUAUCAGGAGGAACACCGGUGGCGAAGGCGGGUCUCUGGGCCGAUACUGACGCUGAGGAGCGAAAGCGUGGGGGAGCGAACAGG